CCUACGGGCGGCUGCAGUGGGGAAUAUUGGACAAUGGGGGGAACCCUGAUCCAGCCAUGCCGCGUGUGUGAAGAAGGCCCUCGGGUUGUAAAGCACUUUCAGUGAGGAAGAACGCCUGGUGGUUAAUACCCAUCAGGAAAGACAUCACUCACAGAAGAAGCACCGGCUAACUCCGUGCCAGCAGCCGCGGUAAUACGGAGGGCGCGAGCGUUAAUCGGGAUUACUGGGCGUAAAGCGCGCGUAGGUGGCUUGAUAAGCCGGUUGUGAAAGCCCCGGGCUCAACCUGGGAACGGCAUCCGGAACUGUCAAGCUAGAGUGCAGGAGAGGAAGGUAGAAUUCCCGGUGUAGCGGUGAAAUGCGUAGAGAUCGGGAGGAAUACCAGUGGCGAAGGCGGCCUUCUGGACUGACACUGACACUGAGGUGCGAAAGCGUGGGUAGCAAACAGGAUUAGAUACCCCGGUAGUC
rnacentral:rRNA from 1 species